rnacentral:rRNA from 1 species
AUUGAACGCUGGCGGCAGGCCUAACACAUGCAAGUCGAACGAGUGGCGGACGGGUGAGUAAUGUCUGGGAAACUGCCUGAUGGAGGGGGUUAACUACGGGAAACGGUGGUUAGUACCGCAUACCAUCGGAUGUGCCGACAUGGGAUUAGUUAGUCGGUGGGGUAAAGGGUCCCCUAGGCGACGAUCCCUAGCUGGUCUGAGAGGAUGACCAGCCACACUGGAACUGAGACACGGUCCAGACUCCUACGGGAGGCAGCAGUGGGGAAUAUUGCACAAGGGGCGCAAGCCUGAUGCAGCCAUGCCGCGUGUAUGAAGAAGGCCUUCGGGUUGUAAAGUACUUUCAGCGGGGAGGCGUUACCCGCAGAAGAAGCACCGGCUAACUCCGUGCCAGCAGCCGCGGUAAUAC